rnacentral:sRNA from 1 species
UUAUUUCCGCGAGCGCCGGCACUGCCCGCUCGGAGCCCUGUCUGUCGGGUGCCUAGCCAACUUUCCUGCGUCCAUGCAGCCCGGCCGGCAACGGCUGCCCGCUCCCUGGUCCGGGCCCGGGGGCCCGCGCCCCACCGCCCCGCUGCUCGCGCUGCUGCUGUUGCUCGCCCCGGUGGUGGCGCCCGCGGGGUCCGGGGGCCCCGACGACCCUGGGCAGCCUCAGGAUGCUGGGGUCCUGCGCAGGCUACUGCAGCAGGCGGCGCGCGCGGCGCUUCACUUCUUCAACUUCCGGGCCGGCUCGCCCAGCGUGCUGCGAGUGCUGGCGGAGGUGCAGGAGGGCCGCGCGUGGAUUAAUCCAAAAGAGGGAUGUAAAGUUGACGUGGUCUUCAGCACAGAGCGCUACAACCCAGAGAUAAUCAUGGACAUAUUGAUCCCUCUCUGAGACCCAUCUGGGAUUUGGCUUUCCUUGGAAGCUCUUAUGUGAUGUGGGAAAUAACAACACAGGUGUCACACUACUACUUGGCACAGCUC